GGUGGUUUAACCGAUCCCCUUGGUUUGCUACCCUGGUGUCCACCUUGAUGGGACCCUUAAUCAUCCUCCUCCUAAUCCUCCUCUUUGGCCCCUGCAUUCUAAACAGAUUGAUGCAGUUCAUAAAGAACAGACUCUCAGUCAUUCAGACGCUUGUUCUCACCCAACAAUACCAGAGGGCACUCAGCGCUAUGAGUUUUCCUCUCAGCACAGCUUUCAUUGUGUCCCGUAAGUUUGGGUAUGUUGUACCUUCAUUUUCAUUAAAUUCUAAAAAGUUUUAAAUUUCUUUCUUUAUUUCUUCCUUGACCAGGUUAUCAUUGAGUAGAGCAUUGUUCAAUUUCCAUGUAUAUGUGGGCAUUCUUCCCUUAUUUUUAUUGAAGACCAGUUUUAGGCCGUGGUGGUCCGAUAGCACGCAUGGGAUUAUUUCUAUCUUUCUGUACCUGUUGAGGCCCGUUUUUGACCAAUUAUAUGGUCAAUUUUGGAGAAAGUACCAUGAGGAGCUGAGAAGAAGGUAUAUCCUUUUGCUUUAGGAUAGAAUGUUCUAUAAAUAUCUGUUACGUCCAUUUGGCUCAUGACUUCUCUUAGUCUGUCUACGUCUCUGUUUAAUUUCUGUGUCCAUGAUCUGUCCAUUGAUGAGAGUGGGGUGUUGAAAUCUCCUACUAUUAUUGUGUGAGGUGCAAUGUGUGUUUUGAGCUUUAGUAAGGUUUCUUUUAGGUAUGUAGGUGCCCUUGUAUUUGGGGCAUAGAUAUUUAGGAUUGAGAGUUCAUCUUGGUGAACUUUUCCUUUGAUGAAUAUGAAGUGUCCUUCCUUAUCUUUUUUGAUGACUUUUAGUUGAAAAUUGAUUUUAUUUGAUAUUAGAAUGGCUACUCCAGCUUGCUUCUUCUGACCAUUUGCUUGGAAAGUUGUUUUCCAGCCUUUCACUCUGAGGUAGUGUCUGUCUUUGUCUCUGAGGUGUGUUUCCUGUAGGCACCAGAAUGCAGGGUCCUCAUUGCAUAUCCAGUUUGUUAAUCUAUGUCUUUUUUAUUGGGGAGUUGAGGCCAUUGAUGUUGAGAGAUAUUAAGGAAUAGUGAUUAUUGCUUCCUGUUAUAUUCAUAUUUGGAUGUGAGGUUAUGUUUGUGUGCUUUUCUUCUCUUUGUUUUGUUGCCAAGACGAUUAGUUUCUUGCUUCUUCUAGGGUAUAGCUUGCCUCCUUAUGUUGGGCUUUCCCAUUUAUUAUCCUUUGUAGUGCUGGAUUUGUAGAAAGAUAUUGUGUCAAUUUGGUUUUGUCAUGGAAUAUGUUGGUUUCUCCAUCUAUGUUAAUUGAGAGUUUUGCAGGAUACAGUAACCUGGGCUGGCAUUUGUGUUCUCUUAGGGUCUGUAUGACAUCUGUCCAGGAUCUUCUGGCCUUCCUAGUUUCUGGCAAGAAGUCUGGUGUGAUUCUGAUAGGUCUGCCGUUAUAUGUUACUUGACCUUUUUCCCUUACUGCUUUUAAUAUUCUUUCUUUAUUUUGUGCGUUUGGUGUUUUGACUAUUAUGUGACGGGAGUAGUUUCUUUUCUGGUCCAAUCUAUUUGGAGUUCUGUAGGCUUCUUGUAUGCCUAUGGGUAUCUCUUUUUUUAGGUUAG
rnacentral:lncRNA from 1 species